rnacentral:rRNA from 1 species
CCUACGGGAGGCAGCAGUAGGGAAUCUUCCACAAUGGGCGAAAGCCUGAUGGAGCAACGCCGCGUGGGUGAAGAAGGUCUUCGGAUCGUAAAACUCUGUUGUUAGAGAAGAAAGUGCGUGAGAGUAACUGUGAACGUUUCGACGGUAUCUAACCAGAAAGCCACGGUUAACUACGUGCCAGCAGCCGCGGUAAUACGUAGGGGGCAAGCGUUAUCCGGAUUUAUUGGGCGUAAAGGGAACGCAGGCGGUCUUUUAAGGCUGAUGUGAAAGCCUUCGGCUUAACCGGAGUAGUGCAUUGGAAACUGGGAGACUUGAGUGCAGAAGAGGAGAGUGGAACUCCAUGUGUAGCGGUGAAAUGCGUAGAUAUAUGGAAGAACACCAGUGGCGAAAGCGGCUCUCUGGUCUGUAACUGACGCUGAGGUUCGAAAGCGUGGGUAGCAAACAGGAUUAGAUACCCGUGUAGUC